UUGACCCAAGAGCGCCUGACCCGAGGACGCUUGACUCGAGAACGCCUGACCCGAGGAUGCCUGAUCGGAGAAUGCCUAAUCCGAUGAUGCCUGACCGAAGGAAACCUACUCCCCAAUGAUACAUGACCGGAGGCUCCACCUUCUCCCCGAGAACGCUUGACCCGAGGAUGCCUGAUCGGAGAAUGUCUAACUCGAGGAUGCCUGACCGAAUGAGAC
rnacentral:lncRNA from 1 species